GACGAACGCUGGCGGCGUGCCUAACACAUGCAAGUCAACUUGACUGAAGGAGCAAUCUGACAGUAGAGUGGCGCAAGGGUGCGUAACGCGUAAGUAACUUGCCCCAAGGUAAGGAAUAACGUCGAGAAAUCGGCGCUAAUACCUCAUAAUGCAGCGGAUCGCAUGGAUAUGUUGUUAAAGGUUUACCGCCUUGGAUAGGCUUGCGUCUGAUUAGUUAGUUGGUGUGGUAACGGCACACCAAGGCUACGAUCAGUAACUAGGUCUGAGAGGAUGAUCAGUCACACUGGAACUGAGACACGGU
rnacentral:rRNA from 1 species